UAGGUUUCUUUUAUUUGAAUCAACACAGGAAUCCAGGAUUAUUAACACCACAAGGCAACGCAAAGAGGAAAACCCAACUCGCAGAAGUAACACUUCAAGGUACUACGCUAAACGGCUACCAUUACAACUUGGAAAAUCGUUUGCUUCAAUAUUGAAGGCGAUUUGCCCUACAUUACUGGCCAUCCAUGCUUCUAGGCAAUGUAUGUAGGCAUUGAUCACUCGAUGGACACCUGGAUCCUGUCGCCAGUUGCAUCCUCACGAUCAAGCAGCAAUUUUCCUUUCUGGGACUGAUCUGCACCCUGAAGUAU
rnacentral:lncRNA from 1 species